GUGGGUGGGAACAGGAAAUAAAGAAAGCAAGAUACACAAUGUAGCAUCAUAUGAAAUGAACAUCAUUUAUUGAAGUACCUUGUAGAAGCUGUAGCGAUUUUAUCUUCUAUUUUAUUUUUUUUAAGAAAAAUGUUAAGGUGCCUCUGGAUUCUUUUGCUACAUAUUAUUUCAUGUCUGUCCCAGUUGGUGGAGGUGACCCAGGAUAAAUUCCUUAUAGUUCAGUCUGGGAAAUCUGUGGAACUUAAAUGUCGUCACACACAGACCAGCUAUUUAUCAAUGUUCUGGUACCAGCAAAAAGGACAGCAAGGGCUGAAGCUUAUGGUUUACUCAACAGCUGCUGGUGAUAACAGUAAAAUGGAGGAGGGGUUCGGGUCCUGGGCUCUGAACAGGCCUGAUGUACUCAACUCCACUCUGACACUGUCAAAGUCCAGUGCCGAGGACUCCGCCGUCUACUUCUGUGCAAUCAGCCAACACAGUUGGAAAUGUCAGUGCAGAUGUCAGCACAUAACCUUACUGGGAGUCAGCGUCAGUUCUAAAUGAUACCUGGAGGGGGAGCUGUUCAUUAUAGCAUUUAUUAUUAUUGUUUUCUAGUUUGUUAUAUAAUGGAUGUUGAGCAGAAACUGGUGCAAAUAUUAUUAUUUUUUCUUUGUUCAGGUUACAGGUCAAGCUGCUAAUAGCAAUAGCGAUUGUCAGUGGUAAUUGU